rnacentral:sRNA from 1 species
GGGUUGCGAUACUUGGUUGUAUGGACGAUUUUGCCAAAUGCAAUGCACAGACAAAUUUGAUAUUCCAUACGGCGUAGCUGGAACAAAUGGUGGAAGCUUUACUGGCGCAUAUACAUGCAGUGAUCUUCAAGGAACUUUCACGCCAUCCAAUGUUGUGGCUAAUUGUACAGUUAGGAAAAAUCCACGGAAAACAGUUUCCAACUUGGCAUAGUGAUCCUUUCUGUGAUGAGGGUCUUGCGGUCAGGUGGAGUACCUUAACUUGUGUUCCCUGCUCUGUUGGUACGUACCUAGACAACACAGACCCAUGGACUCCAAAAUGCUACGAUUGUCCCAAAGGAACCUACAGAGAUACAGAAGACGCCCUCUCGUGUACAUCGUGUCCUGUCGGCACUUCAACCUUAAACCAGGCGUCCAUUAGCGAGAACGAAUGCAUAGCCCAGUGCAAACCCGGGGUGUACCCGUUUCUGGUCUUGUUCCCUGCAGCCCGUGUCCACGGUCCUCUUAUCAGUCACAAAAUAUACCAGUAUAAGUAUGAAGCACCUGGAAUAUCCGUGAUAGAUUCUUUCUCCUCUAUCAUUGUACAAAAUAACCAGGAAAAACUCAAUAGUGUUGCAGUGUCUGGCUAUAGACUUAUAACCGGUGUUUCCAGCGAUUCUGACGUUGCACAGCUUGCCUCAAUGUGUAAUGCGUCAUUGUCAUCCCUUAUUGAUCUAACAAUAGAAAAUCUGAUUGGAGCAUCAGUAGCUGUGCCAAGCGUCUGUUAUAGCAUACCAUGUGAUUCUCAGUUUUUCUCGGAAUCUGUUGCAUGCAAUACUGCCCCUUGUCCAUCAUGUCCGGAAUUACCAAAAUCAUUUGGACCAAAUCCAACUGUUCUACUAAUCAAGAUGGAAAUACUGCUUGUUCACUGUCUUGUCGCCCAGGAUUGAUUUCUCAAUCGCAAACCCGCCUUUAGAUGAAUAUAAUGUGGUCCGGGUAUCGCUUACGAAUGGAACGGAAUACCACCGGCUUGUGGACAAGUUUGCACUUUAUGGUGG